rnacentral:siRNA from 1 species
ACACAAAAAGUGCCCUCUCCUUAU